GCCUUCGUGGCGUAACGGUCAGCACACUCGGCGCGUGUUCGAGAGGUCCAAGGUUCGAAUCCUGGCGAGGGCA
rfam:Stegodyphus mimosarum contig117591, whole genome shotgun sequence.